rnacentral:rRNA from 1 species
UACGUAGGGGGCAAGCGUUGUCCGGAUUUAUUGGGCGUAAAGAGCGUGUAGGCGGCCUGACAGGUCUGCUGUGAAAACUCGAGGCUCAACCUCGAGAUGUCGGCGGAAACCGUCUGGCUAGAGUCCGGGAGAGGAGAGUGGAAUUCCUGGUGUAGCGGUGAAAUGCGCAGAUAUCAGGAAGAACACCCGUGGCGAAAGCGGCUCUCUGGAACGGUACUGACGCUGAGACGCGAAAGCGUGGGGAGCGAACAGG